GCACGCGUGGCGUAAUUGGUAGCCGCACCAGACUUAGGAUCUGGCGCCGUAAGGUGUGUGGGUUCGAGUCCCUCCGCGUGCACUA
rnacentral:tRNA from 2 species